UAGGGAAUCUUCCACAAUGGACGCAAGUCUGAUGGAGCAACGCCGCGUGAGUGAAGAAGGCUUUCGGGUCGUAAAACUCUGUUAUUGAAGAAGAACGUGUGUGACAGUAACUGGUCAUGCAGUGACGGUAUUCAAUCAGAAAGUCACGGCUAACUACGUGCCAGCAGCCGCGGUAAUACGUAGGUGGCAAGCGUUGUCCGGAUUUAUUGGGCGUAAAGCGAGUGCAGGCGGUCUUUUAAGUCUGAUGUGAAAGCCUUCGGCUUAACCGAANAAGGGCAUCGGAAACUGGGAGACUUGAGUGC
rnacentral:rRNA from 1 species